UACGUAGGGUGCAAGCGUUGUCCGGAAUUAUUGGGCGUAAAGAGCUCGUAGGCGGUUUGUCGCGUCUGCUGUGAAAACGCGAGGCUCAACCUCGCGCCUGCAGUGGGUACGGGCAGACUAGAGUGCGGUAGGGGAGAUUGGAAUUCCUGGUGUAGCGGUGGAAUGCGCGGAUAUCAGGAGGAACACCGAUGGCGAAGGCAGAUCUCUGGGCCGUAACUGACGCUGAGGAGCGAAAGCGUGGGGAGCGAACAGG
rnacentral:rRNA from 1 species